rnacentral:rRNA from 1 species
AACUCCGGUGGUAUCAGAUGGACCCGCGUUGGAUUAGCUAGUUGGCAGGGUAACGGCCUACCAAGGCGACGAUCCAUAGCCGGCCUGAGAGGGUGAACGGCCACAUUGGGACUGAGACACGGCCCAGACUCCUACGGGAGGCAGCAGUGGGGAAUAUUGCACAAUGGGGGAAACCCUGAUGCAGCGAUGCCGCGUGAAGGAAGAAGUAUCUCGGUAUGUAAACUUCUAUCAGCAGGGAAGAUAGUGACGGUACCUGACUCAGAAGCCCC